AAAGAUUAAAGCGGGAUAAAUUUAGCCUGUGAUCUAGUUGCUGUUAUUAUUGAAAAGUACGGGUACCACAUGGCGGAUGAGUAAAACCGUAUAAGCUUCACUUAAAAUAUUACGUAUCCGCCGCGUAGCUCCUUCCCAAGGGAAAAUCAGACAUGCAUUCGGUGCAUAUUACCGCUGCUCUCGUCCAUCCGUCCAACCCCCAUUACAAAUUAAUGCCGCAGAAAAUGGACUGAGAGCAAGGACGUGAAAGGACAUCGACAUGGACACGACCACAGAGCUGCUCAAGUGCACAAUCCAUGCAGCUAUUGGUUGCCUGCUUGGCAGCCAACUAUUUAUCUAUUUAUUUAUUUAUCUUUGGCUUCAGAAUUUAAUCAAAAAGUUCAUGGCAAGAUCCCCCAUUGAGUGCUUUCAAGGAUGUAUGCAAAAUGAGAUUCAGCACAUACAAUAAAUAUAUUAUUUAUUAUGGAAUUAUGUUUAUGUAAUCGAAUUUGUUGUAAGUUUUGUAUCGAAAUAUCAAAUGAUAAAAUCGGGUAUUAGUUCUCUGUAA